CGCUGGCGGCAGGCCUAACACAUGCAAGUCGAGCGGGGGAGCAAUCCCUAGCGGCGGACGGGUUAGUAACGCGUGGGAACAUACCCUUUGGUACGGAAUAGCCUCGGGAAACUGAGAGUAAUACCGUAUGUGCCCUUCGGGGGAAAGAUUUAUCGCCAAAGGAUUGGCCCGCGUUGGAUUAGGUAGUUGGUGGGGUAAUGGCCUACCAAGCCUACGAUCCAUAGCUGGUUUGAGAGGAUGAUCAGCAACACUGGGACUGAGACACGGCCCAGACUCCUACGGGAGGCAGCAGUGGGGAAUCUUAGACAAUGGGCGCAAGCCUGAUCUAGCCAUGCCGCGUGAGCGAUGAAGGCCUUAGGGUUGUAAAGCUCUUUCAGAUGGGAAGAUAAUGACGGUACCAUCAGAAGAAGCCCCGGCUAACUCCGUG
rnacentral:rRNA from 1 species